UUUUGCAUAAAUUAGAAACAAUAAUCUCUUAUAUUUAUAUAUAUAUAUAUAUAUAAUACAUGGAUACAUACAAAAAAUUACAUAUGAGUCGAUGGCUCGAGCAACAAGUUGCACCGCUAAACCUUUUUAGAUGGCAAAAUUAGUUCUCAUAAACAACUCAUUCAUGGACCUAGAAGACAUAAUGUUGUUAUACGUGACCAUUUGAACUAUAUGUAGAAGGUCAACAACCUCUGGUGCUAGAAAGACAAAUGUGCAACGCAAAUAGUAUAAAAGCGUUGAUUGUCACAACACGUUUCCUCAAGAAUAGAUCCUAUUGCUACCAUAGCCAGAGGAUUUGUUUCUUGUUGAGGUGGGGAGUCAGGAAUUUUUGUGAUGAUAUGAGGUGGGGGAAAUGUAGUGUUGUUGUCUAUAGGCAUAUUCUCCUUUAGCUUUAUCAUAACCCUUGGUUGCUUUGGAAAACGCAACUUAUGUCUGUCUCUUAUUUAUGAUUUCCCCAUAUUUUGUUUCAGAAUCUGAUGAAGAUAGGUCUGAAAGAUCCGCUAUUAUGGAAGGCUUCUUUCCUUUAGGUUCAACUUUCUUUACUGCUUUUGCAAGUAUAGGUGAGGGUGAUUUAUGUCUAGGCGGAGAAGGAAUUUGUGAAUUGAUGAUUUAAAGGUGUAGGAUCUUUUUGUUGGUUCAUAUUAUGUUAAAGGCUUGGUUUAAAGUUGAGUUUGUUUUGAUGGUGAGUAUGUCAAAUGCUGAGGGAUUUCAACUUUAGUUUCAGUGUUAGACUGUAGUUUAGAUGGUGCGGGUUGUAGUUCAGUUUUUUAUUCAUUUUGGUUAGAGGGAGUGGGGGUAAUGGAUUGUGUGAGAGUGGAUGUUCGGGUCUUGGGUUGGUGAAGUUUGGUUGUGGAUUUUUACAUGAAAUAUGGCCUUAUUUGUUUGGUAAUUGACCUUCUUGGAAGAGUUGCACCUAUUUGUCUUGGUUUCUUGAUCUUAGUGGAAAGUUUUCCGUUUAAGUUGGCCUAUGCAACCCUACUAAGAGUUGGUGAGGUUCCUGAUAGUCUAAGGCUGAGGUGGUUGCAACCUUAGCCAAUGUAUGAAGGUUGUGGGUGCCUUUGAAAACGGGUGCCUUUAAUUUCUUGGCAACUCUUUCAGGAUUGUGUGCUUCCGUGGCAAAACCUUCUUAGGUGUUGGGUUGUUCUGCCUUUGGGAGUGAGAGAUGUGUUUUUUGUGGGGUGUCAUUCGGAGAGAAUAUGUGAGAGUUAGUGCUCCCUCGUGGUAUGGUUUUGCUUUUUGCGUAUUUUAAGGGUUUGUGCGUAGGUAAGAGAGUGUGGUUAGGGUUGGUUUAUGUUUGGUAUGUUGUUGUGUGGUCCGUCUAAUUCUCUCGUAAUGACCUUAUCUUUUUUGGAGACUCGACUUCGGCUAAGCAUUUGGUGGACAUGGUGAAUUUUUAGCCUGAAAGUGGUUCCUUGCAAACUACCUUACUAGCCUAUUCUAAAUAUAUGAGUGGAAGGUACAACCUGUCAUGUGUUGGACGCGAUAGGGUCUUGUGGUAGUGUUGGUUCUUCUGUUGUUUAAUGGUGGGUAUGGGGUUGCUGUCCAUCUUGGGUUGUCGAAACCUACAUGCGUUACUUUUUAUCUCUUUCUUGUAGGAUAGAGUUGUAGCUUUUCAGUGGAGUGCAUGUGUUCCUUAGGGUGGUUUGUCGUUUUAAUUUUGAUUGUUGAAGUGUCAUGUUUCUCUUAUGUGUCGUGUAUUUCGGUGCUGGGUGUUCAUCUAUUUAGUUUGAUCUUGAGCUUUAUAAAGUUAAUUUUUAAGGUGGAUUAUAUUUAAUGAGUUAGAUUUUUGUCAUGCAUUUUUGGGACAAAAGAAUGAAGAAAAAAUUGAAAUGUGAAGUUUUUAUGAUGUUGUAGAAUUUUGAGAGAUUGAAAAAAAAACUAGUAAAUUGUUAGAAAACGAAUCCAUCAAGUCUUUUUUACAACCUUUUGGAGGUGGGAAAGUUGUUUGAUUAUGCUUGAAUUGUUUCCGUUUUUAUAAAUUUGAAAAAACAUCGUAUAAUUGAAAAAGGUUACUGUAAAUUCAUCAUAGAAAAGUUUAUAAUGAAAUAUGGAAUUUUGAGAAAAAACUUUGAAGUAGAUUGAUUUAAUAUACAUUAUCAAACCCAAGGUCCUGAUUUAAUAUAUAUUUUGAGAAAAUUAUUUGAACUUGGUACUUUUUAAAACAAAUGAAGAUUUCUUAAAAUGUUAAAUUAUUUUGAAAAAAGAAUUUGAGAAUUCUUGAUUUUCUUAAGAGUUUUAGUAUAGGGUUUCUAAUUUUUAAUUUGAGAACUUUUGGCAAAGUUGUGUUAGGAGAGUGAAAAACCCUAGGGCCAGAGUAUUUUGGCAAAGCUGGCAAAGUUGAUUUUCUAAUUUUUCAUUUCAGGUUGGUUUAGAAGCUUUUUUUUAUAUAUAUAAGUUGAUUGCUUGACUUAAGGUACGAGAAAACUUUGAAGGAGUUACAAAUUCUUGUAAGUGGAGGGCUAACGAGGUCCAAGCAGCAGCUUCCACCUGAAUUCUAUGUGAUAGCUCAUUGACUGCAGCUGCAAUUUCAUCCACUGUGUUUAGUCGACUCCCUUCUUCUACCUAUUAUUAAUUCCAAUAUAUAAAUUAGUAAUCAAAUUAUUUUUCACUAAUUUCAAUAUAAUUUAAUAAAGUAAUAUGGUUUAAAAAAUUGACAUGGAGGUUUUGGUUUUCUGACAGUCACCCUGGUUGACCUUGUUCUCACUAAGAGUGCAGAUGGUGAAGCCUAUUCUCUGUUCGAACCUUGCAGUGCGUAUGGAAGAAAAAGAAUACAAAAUUGGAAUGAUAUAACUGAUCAUCAAUUCUUUGUGCUCAAUGAGUGGAAAGCAACAUGGAAAGUACGCCAGCCAACAACCACUAAAUCACCUAGUACAGGAAAUGUGAAAUGGUUGAAACCAAAUGCAGGCAGGUUCAAAUGUAACAUUGAUGUGUCCUUCUCAACGCAAUAUAAUGAAGUUUAGAGAUGUAUGUACUCGCAAAAAUUGGAUAUGUGUAAAAGAGAUGAUACAAGUGCAUCUCUACGGGCAAAAAUCGAAUGGUUUAGUCCAAUCUGCAAUGUUCAUAUGGGUGAAGCAUUAGGAUGCCUUUUGGUGUUGAAUUGGGUUCAUGAACUAAACUUGAAAACCGUUGAUUUUAAGCUUGAUUCAAAGAGUGUGUCGGAUAAAUUUCCCUCAAACAAGAUGUAACAAAAUUUGGGGCUAAUAAUUUGCAUAUAGCUUUAUUUAAUCAAUAUUAUGUAAACUUCAAUGUUGAG